GACGAAAUAGUUCAGUUGGUAGAACAUUGGAAUCAUAAACCAAAAGCCGAGAGUUCAAAUCUCUUUUUCGACA
rnacentral:tRNA from 1 species